rnacentral:rRNA from 1 species
UCAAGCGAAUAAGCGCACACGGUGGAUGCCUUGGCGGUCAGAGGCGAUGAAGGACGUGGCAGCCUGCGAAAAGUAUCGGGGAGCUGGCAACAAGCUUUGAUCCGGUAAUGUCCGAAUGGGGAAACCCACCCGCUUGCGGGUAUCCUGCAGUGAAUACAUAGCUGCUGGAAGCGAACCUGGUGAACUGAAAUAUCUAAGUAACCAGAGGAAAAGAAAUCAACCGAGAUUCCGUAAGUAGCGACGAGCGAACGCGGACUAGCCCUUAAGCUGAUUUGGUUCUAGGAAAACGCUCUGGAAAGAGCGGCCAUAGAAGGUGAUAGCCCUGUAUCUGAAAGGGCCAUUUCAGUGAAGACGAGUAGGGCGGGGCACGUGAAACCCUGUCUGAACAUGGGGGGACCAUCCUCCAAGGCUAAAUACUACUGACCGACCGAUAGUGAACCAGUACCGUGAGGGAAAGGCGAAAAGAACCCCGGAGAGGGGAGUGAAAUAGAUCCUGAAACCGUGUGCGUACAAGCAGUAGGAGCCUCGCAAGGGGUGACUGCGUACCUUUUGUAUAAUGGGUCAGCGACUUACUGUUCGUGGCAAGCUUAACCGUAUAGGGGAGGCGAAGGGAAACCGAGUCUGAUAAGGGCGCAUAGUCGCGGGCAGUAGACCCGAAACCGGGUGAUCUAGUCAUGGCCAGGGUGAAGGUGCCGUAACAGGUACUGGAGGCCCGAACCCACGUCUGUUGCAAAAGACGGGGAUGAGCUGUGAUUAGGAGUGAAAAGCUAAUCGAACCCGGAGAUAGCUGGUUCUCCUCGAAAGCUAUUUAGGUAGCGCCUCAUAUGUAUCCUCUCGGGGUAGAGCACUGUUAUGGCUAGGGGGUCAUCGCGACUUACCAAACCAUUGCAAACUCCGAAUACCGAGACGGACUGUAUGGGAGACACACGGCGGGUGCUAACGUCCGUCGUGAAAAGGGAAACAACCCAGACCCACAGCUAAGGUCCCAAAUUUUGUGCUAAGUGGAAAACCAUGUGGAAAGGCACAGACAGCCAGGAGGUUGGCUUAGAAGCAGCCACCCUUUAAAGAAAGCGUAAUAGCUCACUGGUCGAGUCGGUCUGCGGGGAAGAUUUAACGGGCUAAGCACAGAACCGAAGCUUGGGGUGUGCAUAUUUAUAUGUACGCGGUAGAGGAGCGUUCCGUAAGCCGUUGAAGGUGGAUUGAGAAGUCUGCUGGAGGUAUCGGAAGUGCGAAUGCUGACAUGAGUAACGAUAAUGCGGGUGAAAAACCCGCACGCCGAAAGCCCAAGGUUUCCUUGCGCAACGUUAAUCGGCGCAGGGUGAGUCGGCCCCUAAGGCGAGGACGAAAGUCGUAGUCGAUGGGAAGCAGGUUAAUAUUCCUGCACCUCGCGUAAGUGCGAUGGAGGGACGGAGAAGGUUAGGCGUACCGGGCGUUGGUUGUCCCGGGAAAGGCGGUAGGUUUGGAUCUUUGGCAAAUCCGGGAUCCUUCAAGACCGAGCACCGAGACGAGCCUUUAUGGCGAAGUCGCUGAUACCACGCUUCCAGGAAAAGCUCCUAAGCUUCAGCUUACGCAGACCGUACCGUAAACCGACACAGGUGGGUAGGAUGAGAAUUCUCAGGCGCUUGAGAGAACUCGGGUGAAGGAACUAGGCAACAUGGCACCGUAACUUCGGGAGAAGGUGCACCCUUUUUGGUGGCUCGUGCGAGCUAUAGCUGAAGAGGGUCGCAGUAACCAGGCCGCUGCGACUGUUUAUCAAAAACACAGCACUCUGCAAACACGAAAGUGGACGUAUAGGGUGUGACGCCUGCCCGGUGCUGGAAGGUUAAUUGAUGGGGUCAGCCGCAAGGCGAAGCUCUUGAUCGAAGCCCCAGUAAACGGCGGCCGUAACUAUAACGGUCCUAAGGUAGCGAAAUUCCUUGUCGGGUAAGUUCCGACCUGCACGAAUGGCGUAACGACAGCGGCGCUGUCUCCACCCGAGACUCAGUGAAAUUGAAAUCGCUGUGAAGAUGCAGCGUUCCCGUGGCAAGACGGAAAGACCCCGUGAACCUUUACUAUAGCUUUACACUGAACGUUGAGUUCGUCUGUGUAGGAUAGGUGGGAGGCUAUGAAACCAUGGCGCUAGCUGUGGUGGAGCCAUCCUUGAAAUACCACCCUGUCGUGCUUGACGUUCUAACCUGGGCCCAUUAUCUGGGUCGGGGACCGUGUAUGGUGGGUAGUUUGACUGGGGCGGUCUCCUCCUAAAGAGUAACGGAGGAGCUCGAAGGUACGCUCAGCGCGGUCGGACAUCGCGCACUGUGUGCAAAGGCAUAAGCGUGCUUGACUGCAAGAUCGACGGAUCAAGCAGGUAGGAAACUAGGACUUAGUGAUCCGGUGGUUCUGUAUGGAAGGGCCAUCGCUCAACGGAUAAAAGGUACUCCGGGAUAACAGGCUGAUACCGCCCAAGAGUUCAUAUCGACGGCGGUGUUUGGCACCUCGAUGUCGGCUCAUCACAUCCUGGGGCUGUAGUCGGUCCCAAGGGUAUGGCUGUUCGCCAUUUAAAGUGGUACGCGAGCUGGGUUCAGAACGUCGUGAGACAGUUCGGUCCCUAUCUGCCAUGGGCGUUGGAGAUUUGAGAGGGGCUGCUCCUAGUACGAGAGGACCGGAGUGGACGAACCUCUGGUGUUCCGGUUGUCACGCCAGUGGCAUUGCCGGGUAGCUAUGUUCGGAAGCGAUAACCGCUGAAAGCAUCUAAGCGGGAAGCGCGCCUCAAGAUGAGAUCUCCCGGGGCACAAGCCCCUGAAGGAACCAUGUAGACUACGUGGUUGAUAGGUCAGGUGUGUAAGUACAGCAAUGUAUUGAGCUAACUGAUACUAAUGAUCCGAGAGGCUUGACCAU